rnacentral:rRNA from 1 species
UACGUAGGGGGCUAGCGUUGUCCGGAAUCAUUGGGCGUAAAGAGCGUGUAGGCGGUCCGGUAAGUCCGCUGUGAAAGUCGGGGGCUCAACCCUCGAAUGCCGGUGAAUACUGUCGGGCUCGAGUCCGGAAGAGGCGAGUGGAAUUCCUGGUGUAGCGGUGAAAUGCGCAGAUAUCAGGAGGAACACCAAUGGCGAAGGCAGCUCGCUGGGACGUGACUGACGCUGAGACGCAAAAGCGUGGGGAGCAAACAGG